CCGCUGGGCCGGACGGCCGCUGCUGCAUCGGUUUACGCCCGGUUCGCCGGGGCCGUACUGAUGUGGGGGAGGAAAGUCCGAACUCCGCAGAGUGGUGUGCCGGAUAACGUCCGGGAGGGCGCCGUUAAGGGCGUUCGACGGAAAGUGCCACAGAGAACAUACCGCCCGCCGCAAGGCAGGUAAGGGUGAAAAGGUGCGGUAAGAGCGCACCGGGCGCGCAGUGAUGCGCGUUGCAUGGCAAACCCCACACGGAGCAAGACCAAAUAGGGGAGAAGUUCGCGGGGCAACUCGCGAUGCGUGCUGACUCGGUGCGCCAAACUUCCGGGUAGGUCGCUUGAGCCAGUCAGUAAUGAUUGGCCCAGAGGAAUGGUCGUCCCGCCGGCGCAAGCCGGUGGACAGAAUUCGGCUUAUAGGCCCGGCGGCUAA
rnacentral:RNase_P_RNA from 21 species